rnacentral:rRNA from 1 species
UACGUAGGUGGCAAGCGUUGUUCGGAUUUACUGGGCGUAAAGAGCGCGCAGGCGGCUGGGCAAGUCCGAUGUGAAAGCUUCCGGCUUAACUGGAAAAUUGCAUUGGAAACUGCUCGGCUUGAAGGUGGGAGAGGGUAGCGGAAUUCCCGGUGUAGUGGUGAAAUGCGUAGAUAUCGGGAGGAACACCAGUGGCGAAGGCGGCUACCUGGCCCAUUCUUGACGCUGAGGCGCGAAAGCUAGGGGAGCAAACGGG